rnacentral:rRNA from 1 species
CACGAAGUUAGCCGGGGCUUAUUCUUCCGGUACAGUCAUUAUCUUCCCGGACAAAAGAGCUUUACAACCCUAAGGCCUUCAUCACUCACGCGGCAUGGCUGGAUCAGGCUUGCGCCCAUUGUCCAAUAUUCCCCACUGCUGCCUCCCGUAGGAGUCUGGGCCGUGUCUCAGUCCCAGUGUGGCUGAUCAUCCUCUCAGACCAGCUACUGAUCGUCGCCUUGGUGAGCCGUUACCUCACCAACUAGCUAAUCAGACGCGGGCCGAUCUUUUGGCGAUAAAUCUUUCCCCGUUAGGGCUUAUCCGGUAUUAGCUCCAGUUUCCCGGAGUUGUUCCGAACCAAAGGUACGUUCCCACGUGUUACUCACCCGUCUGCCGCUCCCCUUGCGGGGCGCUCGACUUGCAUGUGUUAAGCCUGCCGCCAGCGUUCGUUCUGAGCCAGGAUCAAACUCU